AUUGAACGCUGGCGGCAGGCCUAACACAUGCAAGUCGAGCGGAUGAAGGGAGCUUGCUCCUGGAUUCAGCGGCGGACGGGUGAGUAAUGCCUAGGAAUCUGCCUGGUAGUGGGGGAUAACGUCCGGAAACGGGCGCUAAUACCGCAUACGUCCUGAGUGAGAAAGUGGGGGAUCUUCGGACCUCACGCUAUCAGAUGAGCCUAGGUCGGAUUAGCUAGUUGGUGGGGUAAAGGCCUACCAAGGCGACGAUCCGUAACUGGUCUGAGAGGAUGAUCAGUCACACUGGAACUGAGACACGGUCCAGACUCCUACGGGAGGCAGCAGUGGGGAAUAUUGGACAAAGGGCGAAAGCCUGAUCCAGCCAUGCCGCGUGUGUGAAGAAGGUCUUCGGAUUGUAAAGCACUUUAAGUUGGGAGGAAGAGCAGUAAGUUAAUACCUUGCUGUUUUGACGUUACCAACAGAGUAAGCACCGGCUAACUUCGUG
rnacentral:rRNA from 1 species